UUUUAAUUUUUUUGGUUUUUUUAAUUAAUUUUUUUUUAUCAAUUUUGUUAUUUUUAUUAUUAAAUUUAUUUUUUUUCUUUAUCAGCUUUAUUUUUUUUGGAUAAAUAUUUUGUUAUUAUAUAUUCUAAUUUUUGUAAUUUUUAUAAUUAUAAAAAAAAAAAUGAGCAAAUUUUAGGGAUUUUUGUUUACUUUCACAUUCUGAUUUUUAUAUAAAUUUUUAAAACACAUAAGAAUUAGUUAUUAAUUUUUGGUUAAUACCAUAUCUUCUUUCGAUUUUUUUUUUAAAUAUUUUUAAAUACUUAAAAUUUUUUAUUAGUUUAUUUGUCACAAAAAACACAUAAAAAAAGUAAUAACUGUGAGUAUAUCAAUACAGUAGUAAAUUCAACAUUACAUAAGAAAAUAAGGUUCUAAUCAUUAACCAUUCAACUGUCCUGCCAGGGCACCGGUCCUACCCAUUAUUUCGAACCACAAAUUCAUUCAUACUAUAUAACUAUCAACUCAUCCCUUAGUUUCGAUUGAUACAUGUUACCGCCACCAUAUUGGGGUGGGUGACAUAGAGUAAUGAGGACAUAAGAAAACUUAGACGAAGUGAUAUAGAGAGAACAAAAAAUAUUAUCCAAAAUAAUAAUCAAAAAAAAUAAACAAAAUUAAAACACAAAAAAAUUUUGGACAUAAAAGGGGGGGCCCGUCUGGGGGGAAGGGGGAAGGGAAGACAUCCGACUGAAAGGGGGUGGGCUGACAAGUGGACGACUGGGGCUUGGGGAGAUACUGGAAAAGGGUAGGGGCAAAAGGGUAAAUUCAAUCAGAGUUUGUUGAUGUGACUAAAAGGGGUGGGAAUAAUAGUGCUCUCGAAAGUGAAUGUGACCAAAGAAUGUUUGCAUUGUGCACGCAAGGCAUAUAAUUCUUUAUAGAUACCUGUCCAAACCCAUGUGGGUGUGUCCCAAGAAUUAACAAAGGAAAGGCCGGUCAGUAGAUUCGGUUUCCAAACGGAAGAGAGAAUACUCAGAAUAGCGUUCUGUUACUCUAAAGUGAAUGUGAACAAAAAAUGUUUGCAUUGUUUCCACUUGUGAAAGAGCGUCCUCCCCAAGUUAUGGUUAGCUUUUCCAGAGCUAUAAACAUUUGUAAAGUACCAAGGAUAUUUUUGUCAUUUUAGCUUUUCCAGAGUUAUAAACUUUUGUAAAGCACGAAGGAUAUUUCUGUCAGUUUAUUGUCAAAGGUAACCAGAGAAAUUGGGAGCUUCGAAAUGAAAACCAAAAUCAUCUCAGGACAACCCACUUUCCAAAUACACGUCACCUUCAUUUGGAAUAUUUAAUUUGAUCCCAGUACAAAUACUUUAAAGCCCAAGAUAAAUCGAAGCAUAUCAAAGAUAGAUUCGAAGCCCCGUCGCUGAUAAAGCGUUGUUGGAGAAGAUCCAAGAUAAAUCUCGUCUCUAAGUCGAUCGGAGUCCUGUUGCAGAUGCGCGCCAGAGAAAGAGGGAUGGGGUGGACUGAGGAGCCAUUAUUGGGGGAGAAAGAUAUGACGGCUGGGCAGUUUACAGCUUACAUUCUCAAAUUAGCUUGGACUUUUUUAGUUAGAAAAAAAAUAAUUGGGCUCGAGUUGUUGGGCUCUUUUAAAGUAUAUGAUUGAGCUUUUUUUGAACUCUAUUAUCUAAAUGGGCUCUCAUUUUAAAAUAACCGAGCAAUUUAGAAUUGUUUUCAAAAAAGUUAAAAAGUUUAUUGGGCUGCAAAACAUGUUCAAAUAAGAAAUUAUAUGGUCAUUGUUUUAACUUAUAUACAUGUACAAAAACAUGUAUUAAAAAAAUAAUUAUAUAACGUAUCUUCAUAUUCAUAUCUCAAUUUGGAUCCAAAUUCACGUAUCUCUUAUUUUUCAAUUUCAAGUGUUGGACCUCCAGAUAUGUACCUAUCUCUGAUACCCACACUCUGAAUCCAUGCAACAUAGCCUCUAGCCACACAAUCCACUACUACCAGGCCUCUUCCCAACCUUCCAACACUACCAUUCAUUCCCUUUCCACACCCACCCUUGUCACUGGACUAACCUUCCCGACCUUCCCAGCCCCUACCCCCGCCAUUUGACUCGCUUAGCUCACUAGCUCUCGAACCUUAUUUGAUUUCCAACAUCUCUCUCGCUAUUGAGAACUGUACCACUAUUUAGCUGCAAAUACCAUCCAUUUUAUUGAUUCGUAUGAAUCCGAGCAUCAAGCACUUCUUCAACAAUAUGGCUUGGAAUAGUAGAAAUUGUUCAAUCCGACAUUCAAAAAUCUGAACAUCUUGCAUUUGGUCGCCAUGAGAUAUCUAAACGACUGCUACUCAUCGGUGAUUAUAUAUCUAAACAAAACUUGUUCAACACUGUAGUCUAAAAAAUCGCACAAGAGAAGGAAAAAAGGAUUGAACGAGAUAGAAGAGAUUGUGGUGGUCUUUUGGGUGUUUUUUUGAACUUAUGCUUUGACAGAAAUAAUGUUGUUGAAAGAAGAGGGUGGUGAAAGAAGAAUGGGUGGGAAAAG
rnacentral:lncRNA from 1 species